GGAUGGGGCGGGGGGCGGUGAGGGAGGAGCAGAGAGAAAAGGGAAGCACUAGACAAUGACACUAUUCAGACGCUUGGUUGAGUUAAAACAAAUACACUAGGAGAGAGACGAGGGGGAAGGGAGAUAGCAAGAUGGGGAGGGGGGAAAAACAACACUGGGGUCGGCUUUUGAAGAGGAGAGAGGUGGAGGAGUAUAGGCUGAGUAGCAGUCGAUCCACGUGCCUUCUGGGUCUGAACCCCGAAUCACAACCGGGAGCUUGGGGAGGAGAGGCAGCGAAGAUGCAAGAACUGCCCAACAGCCCUGGAGCUAAACAAGCUCAGGGCACAACUUCACUGUGGCGGGGGAUUUCCGGGGUCACUGUGUCAGAGGCCCUUCUCCGAGUCUUUCAAUCUCGGGCGAAGAGAGUGGCCUUAAACUGGGAAGCCCAGGCGCUCCUCUCACUGCGUGCUCUCCAUCCCCUUUGUAUUUAAAAAUCUCGAAGCAGCAGCUAACUAGUGCUGCAAUCCAGAUUCCCCACCUUAAAUUUAAGACCAGCGAGAAACAGAGACUCUCCAUUCAAGGCUUAAAGCGUCAUUUGUGCAACUGGAAUAUUUGCCCAACAGUUGGAGAUCUUGAAUCUGUACAGCACCUUUUGCAGUUCCUACUAUGUUCUUGGGCCUGAUCGCCAGACCCUCACAUCCCUCAACCCCUUUAGCAAUGAGGUUCCCUUCUGAAAUUCUUUCCAGAUCUGUAUCCUGGCCCGAGAAUCUUUAUUUGGUGAUCUUUAGAUGACCCGGCUUGAUCUGGAGAUUUGGAAUUGAGUAAUCUGUCUCUAGAUGUACUUGUCUUCCCUACUAAAUCCCCUAGCAAAAAGAGCAGCAGUCUAGUUCUGGGAUCUAUUUUGUGUUUGUUUCUUGAUUAUGCUUGGAGAAAUCCCAUAGUGACCUUUCUGACUCUCAGUUUCCCCAUGAGUUCAAUGGAGAUAAUAUUACCUGUUCUAGCCAUCUCCAAGAUCAAAAGAUAUAAUAAAUGUCGGCGAAAGCACUUUGCAAA